rnacentral:rRNA from 1 species
UAAUACGAAGGUCCCGAGCGUUAUUCGGAAUCACUGGGCGUAAAGGGAGCGUAGGCUGUACGGUAAGUCAGAUGUGAAAUCUCAGAGCUCAACUCUGAAACUGCAUCCGAUACUGCCGUACUAGAGUAAUGGAGGGGUAACUGGAAUUCUCGGUGUAGCAGUGAAAUGCGUAGAUAUCGAGAGGAAGACCAACGGCGAAGGCAGGUUACUGGACAUUUACUGACGCUGAGGCUCGAAGGCUAGGGUAGCGAAAGGGAUUAGAUACCCCUGUAGUCCUAGCAGUAAACGAUGUGCGCUUGGUGUGGGAAGGUUCGACCCUUUCCGUGCCGGAGCUAACGCGUUAAGCGCACCGCCUGGGGAGUACGGUCGCAAGACUA